GGCUCUGCUUCCACCCUUCUAGGAUCAGCAGCAUCCGCCCAAACCCCUCAGCAGCAGGGAUCUUUAAUGGAAGCACAGAC
rfam:PREDICTED: Aedes aegypti uncharacterized LOC5566687 (LOC5566687), mRNA